rnacentral:rRNA from 1 species
AACGAACGCUGGCGGCAGGCUUAACACAUGCAAGUCGAACGAGAUCUUCGGAUCUAGUGGCAGACGGGUGAGGAACACGUGGGAACAUCCCUUUCAGUUCGGAAUAACGUUGGGAAACUAACGCUAAUACCGGAUACGUCCUUCGGGAGAAAGAUUUAUCGCUGAAAGAUUGGCCCGCGUCUGAUUAGCUAGUUGGUGAGGUAAUGGCUCACCAAGGCUACGAUCAGUAGCUGAUCUGAGAGGAUGAUAAGCCACAUUGGGACUGAGACACGGCCCAAACUCCUACGGGAGGCAGCAGUGGGGAAUAUUGGACAAUGGGCGCAAGCUUGAUCCAGCCAUGCCGCGUGAGUGAUGACGGCCUUCGGGUUGUAAAGCUCUUUUGUCCGGGAAGAUAGUGACUGUACCGGAAGAAUAAGCCCCGGCAAACUUCGUGCCAGCCGCCGCCGUAA